UUACCAGCUCUUGACAUUCGGGGUAUGGGCAUUGGAGACGAUGUCCUUCAGUUAGGCUGGCCCCAGAACAGGUGCUGCAUGGCUGUCGUCAGCUCGUGUCGUGAGAUGUUGGGUUAAGUCCCGCAACGAGCGCAACCCUCGCCCUUAGUUGCCAGCAUUUAGUUGGGCACUCUAAGGGGACUGCCGGUGAUAAGCCGAGAGGAAGGUGGGGAUGACGUCAAGUCCUCAUGGCCCUUACGGGCUGGGCUACACACGUGCUACAAUGGUGGUGACAGUGGGCAGCGAGACAGCGAUGUCGAGCUAAUCUCCAAAAGCCAUCUCAGUUCGGAUUGCACUCUGCAACUCGAGUGCAUGAAGUGGAAUCGCUAGUAAUCGCAGA
rnacentral:rRNA from 1 species